rnacentral:rRNA from 1 species
CCUACGGGAGGCAGCAGUGGGGAAUAUUGGACAAUGGGCGAAAGCCUGAUCCAGCCAUGCCGCGUGAGUGAAGAAGGCCUUCGGGUUGUAAAGCUCUUUCAGACGGAAAGAAAUCUUCUGGGCUAAUACCCCGGGAGGAUGACGGUACCGUAAGAAGAAGCACCGGCUAACUACGUGCCAGCAGCCGCGGUAAU